GUUGUCAUUCCACAGAGACACCAGGAAGGAAGGAGAUGUCUAUGCUUAGUGUUCUGACCUGGGAACAUCUGAAUGAUUGGCUGCCUAACUCU
ensembl:snoRNA Gm24770 predicted gene, 24770